GUCGACUUAUCCUAUCCUAAUAUAAAUGUUGAGUCUCUUAUCAAGAACUAUUCAAGAUUCAUUUCCAUUAUAUUAUGCCAUUUUUCAACUAAUUCAAAUUUGAUUAUCGAAUUAUGGAACUCAACAUACUGGUCAAUGGUUCUUUAACAAUUCACAAUAGAAAUUCAUGUUGAAGAUCAUCAUCAAGGUUAUUGAUAUUUUCCAUUCUAAGUCCAUAGCCCUUUUCACUUAACUUUCUAACUUAUUCACGGGUGAGUACCACAUAUGGCUAUGAGAAGUGGGAAAACUCACAUGGGAAUAAUUUAGAAAGUUAAGUUUAUAAAAAGAAAAAUUUAUAAGUCCAAAAACCAAAUAAAUUUAGGAAAAACGUAAGCAGAAUAAUUUAUAAGUCCGAAGUCCAUCAUAUGUCCGCAUGCCAUGUUCGAUCCUAGUCUCAAGCAUUACUUGAGAUGGUUGAAACUAUGGGGUGAGCUAACUAGCAUAAACAUAAUAUUAUUCAUAUAUCAUUCAUCAUUAAUAACAUUGUAACACAAACAUAGCAUAAACAUUACCAUUCAAAAGUGUCAUGGACAAAACAUAAUACAUAAUGAUUUCCUACCCCAACCAUCCGCUACACACCACAAGUUCCCCAGAACUCAUCUGCCAAACUCCAUACAUUGCGAGUUGAGCUCAAUGUGGUUAAACCACCAUUAUAUGUAAUGAAGAUAUACUGCCAUUCAAAAUAAAUAUGAUAUAAUCGUUGUUCUCCUCAUUACUCCCAGUGCAGUGCACUGACAACAUAUAUGCGGACUUAAUAUGCCUCCAUUACUUCACGGAACUCCUCCUUCAUCCACAUAAUCCCAUCCUAUGCACAUGUAAUAUGUCAUACAAAUUUCAAUUAAAAUCAUGUUUCCAUUACAUUCCCAUUUCAAUAGCAUGUUUUGCAUGCUCAUAACAACAUUCACUUUCAUUCGAUAAUAACAUUUAUCAAUCAUUUAGUUUCACCAUCAAUACAGUGACAUUCCAACAUGUCAUAGUUUCAUUAUCAUUCAUAAGAAAUUUUCCAGUGCAUGUGUAGCAGUCUUUCAUAUAUUUCACAACAUUUUACCCAAACAUACAUUUCAUUUUUAUUCUAAUACGUGCUACUCAUACAACCAGCGUACAUUAUAUCACAAAAUAAUUCAUAUUAAUUCAUAUCAAUACCAGACAUUCAAACAUUCAAUCAGUCAUGCAACAUUGCAAACAUGCCAUUUAUCUAAGGUUCGAAACGUACCUGAUUCAGCCACAUUAAAAUCACUUACUUAGCCAUUUAACUAAGUUUGACCAACAAGCUUAAUCAUCAUUUUAAGUAUUAAAAAGAUUAUUUAACAUUUAAAUUUUAUAGGUUGGAACCCACACCUUAUUUUUGUACAACUGUAGCACUACUUACCAAACUUGCGAUUCCUCCUUUAGACUUAAAUUGAACCUAAAUUAAAAUACAAUAUUUAUCGAGUUAAAAUGUUUCCAAAUCAGCCCUAAAGCACCCUCUUAAAGGUUCAAUCAAAUUAGCAUUACCGUAAUAAUUUUUUGUCUAAAUCGACUAGGCUACUUACACUGAUUUGAUGCGAAACAUACGUACGAAUGAGUUUUGUAGUCAUUGAUGAUCCGAGAAGUUUAAAUCAGCAUAUAAACAUAAUUAAUCCCCAAAAAUCAGUAACCAAAACCCCUGUUCAGAUUUUAAAGCAAUCGACCAAAGAAGAAAUUAGUAAUAAAGAAAAACAGUGCAAGAUCUCGCACAAGUUUGCACUUUGCACCACCCAUUACCCUGAUCUGAGUUGUCGGAUGAACAUCUUUCUGAAUUAUCAAUUAGGAACGUUUAAAUCAGAACCAAAUAGAGGGAAAAAUCUAAAAAAUUAAAAUAGUAGGGGCGAAAAUUGAAGAGAAACGACAAUCCCAAAACAAUGGUACUCUAAGGGCGUGGCAACACCAUUUGAGGUGACAAAAAAGGCAAAUCUGGGGUGCUACAAGGAGGGAUCUUUGGACAACCAAAAAGAAAAAUUUUAAGGGCUAGAAUGAUUGACUUAUUGGAUAUAAAAAUAGUAGCCAAAAAUCGGAUCACAAAGUAUAAGAACAGAGAAAAAAAAAUAGGAUUUACUAGCAUUGAUAUGAACAAGGGAGAGGGAGUGGCAAUGGACAGUAAAAGAGGAUGUUAGGAGAGAAAAAAAAGAAAUUUUAGGGCAGAAAAUAAGGAUGGUUUAGGAGGUCUAAAUGUUCAAUAAGGUGACUGGACAAACCAAAAUAGAAAAACUCUAACAACAGGGCAACACAACUGUGAUGAAAUCCCAAAAAAAGGACGAAACUUUGAGAGAAAAAAAAUAAGAGACGAGAGGAGAACUGCUAGGGUAGGAGAAAAAAAUAGACUUAAGGCUGAAAAGUAAGUGAAAAAGUGAUAUUUAUACUUAGGUUAAAAGGCAUGAGUAGCAUAAAAACAGGGGGAAGGAGAAAAAUUAGCAAAAU
rnacentral:lncRNA from 1 species